UAUGUGUCGAUGUGUCGUCACUCCCUUUUCCAAAUCUUUCUCUUCGCUCGUUCUGCCAUUUUUAUUUUUCGUCGGCGUGUUAUCUGCAUUUGUAUGUGCCCGUGUAUGCGGAGAACAUGGGCACGAAGAAGAAGAGGAAGAAGAAGAAAAACCACUACGUGUACGUUUUCGAGUAGCUAUAGUAAC
ensembl:ncRNA sisRNA:CR46357 stable intronic sequence RNA CR46357